rnacentral:lncRNA from 1 species
CCCGCCCUCCCUCCCGCACCGCACCGCGCCGCGCCGCCUCCCUUGUUGCCACGCGCAAGCAGACACGCGCGGCGCCGCCGCGACCGUCCGGUCGCCCCUCGCUCCCUCUACGAAGCGGCCCCGAACGGAGCCCUCAGCCGGCGGGUGCCCCUGCGCUGCGCGGGAGGUGGGCGAGCGGCACGAGGAAUGGAGGCGCCCGACGGCAGCCUAGGGGCCGUGUGACAGCCCGCCGCGAUCGCUCGCGCAUACGGCAGGGAGCCGGAGCAGGAGCAGAGCCGGGCAGCAGCGCCUUGCCCCGUCCCGCAGGGUGCCGGCAUGGAGUGAGAGCAGCGUGCCGCCGCCAGGAGAAGUCCAAAAGAGAAACAGAGAUGGCCAAAUUGACAGAGUCGAUGAUUCAACCACUGAUCUAAAAGACGGCUGUGUACAAAACCAUACUGUGAAGGCAAAUGAGGAUAUUUUUCAAAACCUGAAAAAAACUGAUCAGAUUACUUCUGCAUACUAGCCAUUAAAAGGGAACUACUCUGAAAUUUUGAUUUUUGCCAAGAAGUGCUUUGUGUCCAUCUUGUUCAUUGCUGGCUAAUUACCACCUUUGCAGACAAUCUACAUAGUUAGAUCUCCUUGGAAACUAGCAAGGCUAGGAAGAAAAAUAAGUCUAAGACUCUGUAUUUGAACUCAGAGAUCAUUUUAUUGCAGUAAAGUAAGGCCCA